GCCAAACCUGAAGGGAGGAGGAGGAGGAGGAGGACGGUGAUAAUUCAACUUCAGACAACACCCAUCAUGCAUCUCUGCUACCCACCUUUCAUCAUUGGGUCCAACCAGGGGGUUGGAUCCAGCGAAGCCCGGCAUGUUGAUGUGGUCUUUGAUGAUCAUGACGUCUCCCACUUUGUAGUCCUGGUUGAGGCCUCCGGCCGCGUUGGUCAGGAUCAUUGUCUCCACACCCAACAGCUUGAAGACGCGCAUGGGCAGCGUGAUCUGUGAGAGCACCAGGUCUGAUCUGGAACAUCAGUGAACUUUUCAUGACUUUGAAAAAAUGUCCACAAGAAGUGAGAUGUCGCCGAGGUGGAACCUAAGAUAUUUAAGUGACCUUUAAGUGAUGUCGGCUGCUGGUGAGUCAUGGUGACAAUGAAGAGCUGAGAUCCCUGAGGGUUUCUGGGAAAUUUGUACACACACACACACACCCUUAUACACCCUGUUGUCUGCUGCCACCUGUUGGCUAAAUACGAUACUUCCUGAGCUAAGCGGUUCCUCCUCUCUUGAGUCUCUCAGUGGACUCAAACUUGGUGAUUCAACCCAGGCUUUUGUUCGGCGUCUCGGCGUCACGCUAAGGACUAAAGUACAACACACACAUCACAAAUCUUUUAUCAGUUGUAAAAACAAUGUAACAAUGUUUACUAAGAUUAUGUAACAAAGUAAUUGUGGUGUGUCGUGAGAGACUGGUAAGCAGCUCAGUUAAUUAAAUAUUCAAUGCAGUAAACAAUGAAUGAAUGGAUAAAUGAGAUUCUUGAACAUCAUUUCUGAGGAUUUAAAAAUCACCGCAGAAAUCAAUAAACUCUCUGUGACCCAUUCUCUCUCUCUCUCUCUCUU